rnacentral:rRNA from 1 species
GACGAACGCUGGCGGCGUGCUUAACACAUGCAAGUCGAGCGGUAAGGCCCUUUCGGGGGUACACGAGCGGCGAACGGGUGAGUAACACGUAGGUAAUCAACCCCCAGGUGGUGGAUAACCUUCCGAAAGGAGGGCUAAUACAGCAUGAGACCACGGUCCCGCAAGGGAUUGAGGUCAAAGCCGGCCUCUUCACGAAAGCUGGCGCCAGGGGACGAGCCUGCGGCCCAUCAGCUAGUUGGUAGGGUAANGGCCUACCAAGGCGAAGACGGGUAGCUGGUCUGAGAGGAUGAUCAGCCACACUGGAACUGAGACACGGUCCAGGACUCCUACGGGAGGCGAGCAGUGGGGGAAUCUUGCGCAAUGGGCGAAAGCCUGACGCAGCGACGCCGCGUGAGUGAUG